rnacentral:lncRNA from 1 species
GCAAAUACCAUUCCAACACAAGGUGGCCCUACUUCAUCUCCGUUCAACCCUCCUGCACCAUGCUCCUCUCUUUGCCAUUCUCAACCCUGUUAUUACAACAAGAAUCUAUUGCAUCUCUGUCAAAUGGGACUUUAAGGUUAGAGUUACUUUCCAUCUCCUGAAAGAAAGUUCAAAAUAAACAAACAAUAUAAAAUAGGCUCAGGUCCUAAACUUAGGGAUGAAUAAAUUAUGCGCAAAAUGCUAUGGCAAAAGCUCGCAAAGAUUAUUCAAAUAUUAAACUUUGCAGGCUAAUAAGAAGCAUCAGUAAGGAAGACAUGAAAAGCAAUUUCCGCACUUAUCCAACAAACUAUUCUUUGAGCUCGUGGCCCAGUCCUGCUUUAAGCAAGGAACUCAAACUUCCAAAAUUUGUGGAAACUGGAAAUUACAGACAGCUCUAAUUUCCAUAACAUUGUCUUCAAAUCCGAUAUUCCAAAUUUCUUAAUAUUUCACAAUAGUUUGUGCAGUCUCAUCAAAUUUGUUGUCAUCAAGUCAUCAGCAAUUUCUAGCACCAAAAUAGAAAGGAUACUUCUACAACCAUUCUCAACUACUACACUCAAGGAUAGUUACCUCUUUUUGGUUGCCGGCACAAUGAGGGAACUAAACUAUGAACCUGAAUUAAAAAUCCGAUAUCAAUUUCACUUAUCCGUGACUCCGGAGAAGGGAAAUGAGUAAAGCAAAAUCCUCCAACUAACUUAAAAUGCAACCGAACCCGGAAUACGAUAUAUAUACAAAUAUCAACCUACUUGAGUACUUUACAAGGGGGAAAAAUAAGUGUAAUCCAGUUACCGUAUUUUCUCGGGAAACAAACAGAAAUAUAAAUGAAAGUAAGGCCAUCAUGAUACGGAUUGUUAUAAUUCCAAUAACAAAAGUGAAGAUGAUCAACGGAGAGCGAAGUAAGAAGAAGACCUUAAGCGUCAAAGUCCGAAGAACGUCCCUGAUUGAUGGAGGAAUUGGUAACGUUCAAGAGGAGUGCAGUAUUUGGGCCGACUUCUUUAUUCCGAGCUCUGAGUACCAGCAUACUUUAGUGGGUGAUUAGUUGUCAUGUUUGAUCCUUUUUGUUUCUUUCGAAAAUAAAUAAAUAAAUAAAAAUU